rnacentral:rRNA from 1 species
UACGUAGGGUGCGAGCGUUAAUCGGAAUUACUGGGCGUAAAGCGUGCGCAGGCGGUUAUGUAAGACAGGUGUGAAAUCCCCGGGCUUAACCUGGGAACUGCAUUUGUGACUGCAUAGCUAGAGUACGGCAGAGGGGGAUGGAAUUCCGCGUGUAGCAGUGAAAUGCGUAGAUAUGCGGAGGAACACCGAUGGCGAAGGCAAUCCCCUGGGCCUGUACUGACGCUCAUGCACGAAAGCGUGGGGAGCAAACAGG